rnacentral:tRNA from 1 species
GCCUCUGUGGCGGAAUUGGUAGACGCAGUGGAUUCAAAAUCCACCGGUCGCAAGAUCGUGGGAGUUCGAUUCUCCCCGGAGGCACCA